AUGCCAUCUUAUGUCAAAGAGUCAAACGCAAGUGACCUACAAGUCAACUCAAAGGAUGGAGAGCUGAGAAAAGACUUUUGUAAAGUCAACAUCAGAAAGGAAAGUGGAACGGAGGCUUUUGUCCAGCCACUGAUUGGGUUUGUAUCACUGUGGUACACGUUCGGUGGAGGCACUCGACUCUCAGUUGGAACUGCGGCUCGUCCCGCUCUCACAGUGCUGCUGCCCUCCAGAGACGAGCUGCAGCAGGGUAAGGCUACAGUGCUGUGUGUGGCCAGUAAGGGAUUCCCCUCUGACUGGAAGCUGAGCUGGAAGGUGGACGGCAGCAGCAGGAGCUCUGGUGUCAAUCUGAGUCCCAGUCAGCUGCAGAAGGAUGGACUGUACAGCUGGAGCAGCAGCCUGAGCCUCACUGAGAGUGAGUGGAGCAGAGCAACGACCGUCAGCUGUGACGCCACUCACCCAUCCCACAGUGCAGUGACCAAGAGCCUCAACACACAGCAGUGCGAUGAAUGAAACACACACACACACUGUCCUAAAUCAGCCACUGCUCAACAAUUAAUCUUUCAUGCUGUUAGUAUAUUGCUCUUAUAUUCUUAUGCUGUAAUUCUACAACUGCAAUGCUCUGCAAAGUUUUGUUGCUCAUUUUAUUCUUGCGGCCAAAUAAAAGCAUUUU